UACGUAGGGGGCAAGCGUUGUCCGGAAUCAUUGGGCGUAAAGAGCGUGUAGGCGGUUCGGUAAGUCGGCUGUGAAAGUCCAGGGCUCAACCCUGGGAUGCCGGUCGAUACUGCCGGACUAGAGUUCGGAAGAGGCGAGUGGAAUUCCCGGUGUAGCGGUGAAAUGCGCAGAUAUCAGGAAGAACACCCGUGGCUAAGGCGGUUCUCUAGUACGGUACUGACGCUGAGACGCGAAAGCGUGGGGAGCGAACAGG
rnacentral:rRNA from 1 species